AUGCAUCUCUUCUGGUGGAUCACCCACAUCUUUCUAUCCCUCCCUUCUCUCCUCUCUCUUGUCCAAUCCCUCACGUGCGACAAUGAGAAACAGUAUGCUUGGCCACUGCAUGACAGCCAAUGGUGCUGCAACAAGUGUCCACCAGGUAAGUCUUUUGAAAAAUACUUUUAUCAGGUGUGUGUGUGUGUGUGUGUGUCAUUUAACGUGUUGCCCUUUACAGGUCAGCAUCUGGUGGGACGCUGCACCGGUCAGAACAGCCCUACCCAGUGUGCUGACUGCGCCAGCGGCUACUACUCAGACAGCUACAACUUCAACAUAGGCUGCAAAUCCUGCGACGGCUGCAGCAUGAGUGAGCUGCAGUAUGUAUCUAACUGUUCCACCAAGCAGAAUGAUGUGUGCAGCUGUAAACCAGGCUACCGCUGCAGAGGAAGUGGCACCUGUCUGGACUGUGAGGAGAUCCCCAGCCCGAACACACCCAAACUCAUACCGACACCUCCCAUCAUGCCAGCUACAGUGUCAAACCACUCGGUGCCUGGUAUCCCUAAUCAUAGACCUAAUCCGGUCACCAAACCUGGUAUUGGGCCCAGCACAAAACCAAACCAAGAUGAUAGCAAGUGGCUCCCGGUGUGUGUGUCUGCAGUGUGUGUGUGUCUACUGCUCACCUGCCUUGUUGCCAUCUCAAAGCUCAAACCUUUUCUGCGAUGGAUUGGUUCACCAAACAGCUUCUGGUCUCCCAAAAAGACAACUCCAGCCAAUCAGAGCACAGCGGAGGAGGAAGUGCCCAUGCCGGUCCAGGAAGUGUGUGGAAAGCCAGAGCUGCUACUAGACGUUUGAUGGAGGAAGUCAGUGUCAAAGGAGAGGAUGAGAACUCACAAGUGAGCUGGGAGACCCAGGAGACAAACAGACUACCUCACAUUCCCAUUGAAGUGAAACUAACCUGAAGGCUAGACAGGCUGCUGUAUUGGUUUAAUGCAGUGGCUUCUGUAUCUAGGAGUUUCAGAAAGGACAAGAAAAUAGGACAAAAAGACACUUUGAAGUAUGAAGACACAGGCUAAAGAUGAGAGAGGGAGUGGGAGUCUGUGACCGAGAAAGAGUAACUGGAAGAGUGUGAACGAGACAGACAGACAGACAGACAGACAGACAGACAGACAGACAGACAGACACAGACACAGAGACAGACAGACAGACAGACAGACAGACAGACAGACAGACACAGACACAGACAGACAGACAGACAGACAGACUUGUGUGCUGAAUACAUGUACUGUACAUGUUUAUGUUGAAGAUGUUUUAUACCUUCGUUACAAUUAUUAUGCUUUUUGCUGUAUCUAUGCUUUAUGCCAGUGUUUACUCUUACAUAGUAGUGGCUGUAUUUUAAAGAACAGAAUCACAAAUGUUACAGGCCUACUGUAAUGUCAUACAAUCGCCCCAUCACCUGUAUUCACUGAAAAUGUAUAUUUCGUAUUUUGCUUUUAAUUUGUGAAAAAACAGUUCAAGGUGCCAAAUGAACACAGAAAAAAACAGUUCAAGGUGCCAAAUGAACACAGAAAAAAACAGUUUGCAGCAGUUGAGACAAAGCUUUUUAUACAGUUGAAUAAAAUGAGAGCAAGUGGAUGUGUACAUGACCACCAUAGUGAGAUGUCUAGCUCUAUCUAAGUCUAGAACAGGAAAUAAUGACCAUUCUAGAGUUUUGGGAUUCACUGGUGUUCUGAGAGUAAGAGUGGCAGGUGGCCUAGUGGUUAGAGCAUUGGACUAGUAACCAAAAGGUUGAAUCCCUGAGCUGACAAGGUAAAAAUCUGUUGUUCUGCCCCUGAACAAGGCAGUUAACCCACUGUUCCUAGGCCGUCAUUGAAAAUGAGAACUUGUUCUUAACUGACUUGCCUAGUUAAAUAAAAGGGCUCUAUUCAAUCUGUAUUGCGGAAGUGCAGCUUUACAGCCUGAAAGAAAUGGAAAGGCAAUGUUCCUGUGUCAGAAGCGACUGCUUUCACAUUAAACGCUGCAUAUGUUGGCUCAAUCAGAAAUGACCUCUGUUCCUAUCACGCAAUCUGUAGUGAUACAGACUGAAUAGAGCCCCAGGUAGAUGUUGUCCCUUACCACUGAUCCAGGGUCAGUGGUAAGUCUUAAUCCUCCUUAUGAUUAACAUUAGGAUGUAUGGUUGGCUAAACUGAUCCUAGAAGGGAAGCUUUCACUUGGUGCGUCCUCUGUCCUCAAUCCCCCUCCCCUCAAUGCACCUCCUCUUUGGAAACGUGACUGUCCUUCCCUUGUUCCUGUGAAGGGAAGAAUACACAGUCCAUCUCCCCAUCCCUUUCCUCCUGGGAUAGAUGGAUGUUAGGGGAGGGUGUGGGGUGGGUCGGACAUCCUUCCUCAUCCCUCUCUUUCUGCACUCUCUCUUCCAUCCCUCCACCCAUACCAGUGAACUGGUUGAGUAAACUGAAGAUGACUGUUCCAGCAUUGUGGACAUGGACCGGGCCUGAGAGAGACACAGACAGAGAGAAAGUGAUAUUAGAUUCUAUAUUCAUCAUCAGCCUUAUUCACUAUGGAUCUUGAAACUGAUCAACUUCCCAUGCUAAUCUCCCAUGGACUUCAAAACAUCAUCUAUGCAAAACUCCAAGUUAAACGACUGACGUGCCUCUAUAGGAAAAACCACAAGAGUAACUCCACCAUAUUUAGAUUCCUUUUUAAAUCAAGAUCUUGGGGUCAACAUAAUUAUUUGUAUGUAUCCAUAGUACCUAUAUUUGCUGCUGUAAUAGGUGGUGGAUCCACUGUCUGGUGCUUAAUACUGGGCUGUGUCUCUCUGGCAUUGUGCUGAUGAGGUGGCUCUUUGGUCUUGUUAGGCGACGUUUCUCUUACUCCCUUCAUAAGAGUACAGAAAUUCACCAGAAAUCCAGAGUUAUUGGAAUACACAAUUGUCAACAAUUCCUAUAUAGGGUUUAGGUCAGGAACACACGAAUGACAAUGUAAACAUUACACACACAAUGUAGUAAGUUACCGUAGGUUAUUACACAUACCUUGUUACAGAACUUGAGAGCUGGAAAAUAACAGACACAAAUCUAUUAGUGACCCCAGCAAACUGAUGGUAAGCCACUCAUGGGUUCUUCAUUGAUUAAUCAUCUAUGAUUGAAAGGGCAAUGUUUUAUCAUCUUAACUCUGCAGUUUAAUGCUUUCUAGGUACAUGUAGACACUAGAAACUGGUAAGUAGGUCUACACAGAGAGAGUGUUGCAAUCUUUUAAUUCAAUUACAUUCACAAGAAGAUACAGUUGGCUCCCAGUGUAGACCUAUCCUGAGAUUUAACAUCACAGUCUAAUCCUUCCUCAUCUCAUUCUAGUGUCCAGAGAGAGAGUCUGCUCUAACACAAUGAUCUAACUACAGUUGAGACUGAACAGAGGAACACUGCCUUACCUUGUUUGAAACAGGCUUCAUUUCCUGGGCGACGGAUACAUAACAGAAUGAUAACGGCUAGGAUUCCAAUGACCACCAUAGGACACAAAAUGGCUGCCAAGUGUUUGCUGGUGUCAGCUGGUGGGGAAAGGAGAUGGAGAAACUACUGUAUCUGUACCUUCUCACAGUUUCGAUAUAUUCUGACUGUAAUUAAAAUAACUGAUGGACACACACACGCACACUCGUACUCACACUCACCUGUGGUGUGAUGAGUGGCGUUGCCUGGUUGUGAGACUGGUGAUCGUGGAAUGUCACAGCUGGGUGAGACAGAGGUAAAGGACUCAUCAUGUAACAUAUUCACAGCCUGUCAACACUGAAGUGGGGCCAGUGAGCUGAGAAAUGUAUUUAAUAUCCCAUAUCCAUUACCACUAAAAUAUCUGACAAUUCUUUGAUACCAGAUCUUCUGGUUGUAUGAAGGUUAUGUACCAUAAAAUAAUAACUUUGCCAGAAGUGGCCCUCCUGGCAGGAGAAGGCUUCAACCAGAGCCUGUUUAUCUGUCUGGUUCCAGUAUGCAAUAGUAUGUUUUAGGGAGGAUUAAAAAGGCUAAAGGCUCACUUCGGAGGUUGACAGCGUCCAGCGAAAGAGGAAGUCCUGCUGUGUUCAGAGGAAGUUCCUGUCUGGUUGAUUCUGAUGCCCACUACUGUAAUCAGAGCAGAGUGCACACAGGCAGGAAAACAUCACAUCUAUCCACAGCCAAACACACUGAUUCAAUACCCAGAACCUGGCAAGAAUACAACACAGUGAAGGAAGACAGGCAUAAGAGAAGGCCAGUGGGCAACACACACACUGUACAGUACCAUUGCUAGGUGGCAGGGGAGGUGGGGGCAGCUGAGGGAUCUUCUCACAGUCUCUACAGUUUCCUGUCUGGUCGUCUUUGUCGGUGCAGGUAAAACCAGCCUCACAGCGACAUCUAGCGUCCGAUACAGAAGUACACGGCUCAUCCUCCACCAGGUGCAAAUCUGACACACACACACACACACACACACACACACACACAGAACAAAAGGUUUAGUACAGCUAUUACAUGGUAAUAAAUAGUGUCCAUACUGUAGACAUACCUUUUUGACUCUUGGUAAGAAAUGACAUGUAUGGCAUAUGGAAAUCAGUUUAUGGAGAUAGGUGGGAUGGACUGAGAGUAGCUGAGGGGUGGGUUUAUGGAGAUAGGUGGGAUGCACUGAGAGUAGCUGAGGGGUGGGUUUAUGGAGAUAGGUGGGAUGGACUGAGAGUAGCUGAGGGGUGGGUUUAUGGAGAUAGGUGGGAUGGA
rnacentral:lncRNA from 13 species